rnacentral:rRNA from 1 species
AUGUCCAAGAUGCCAAAUCCAGAGAAGAAGUUGUUCAGGAUGCCAAGCGCAGAUGCCGAGAUGGCUGCACUGCACAAGGAAUGGGAUGAUGCUCGGUGUCCAAUUUGCAUGGACCAUCCUCACAAUGCUGUACUUCUGUUGUGCAGUUCUCAUGACAAAGGAUGCAGAUCCUACAUAUGUGAUACAAGCUACAGACACUCAAAUUGCCUAGACAGAUUCAGGAAAAUGAAAGUGAACCGCAUGGACAGUUCAUCACAGCCAAGCUCUUCCUUGCCUGGAGAUACAAGUAACCAAAGUGCUUCACAGAGAUCCCAUCUCGGUCCCAGUAGAGGGAGCCCCAGGCUGUUAAUCGAUGUACCUGAAUUCCGUGAAAAUCUCAGUCAUGAACAUGUCAUCCGUAGCCCUGCAGCCGUAUCUGGACAACAAGAAGGAACUAACUAUAAUCAAGGUCCAGUAACAUUGGAAGCUCUUAUGGGACAAGUGACUGGGCAAGUCGAGUCAGCUGAGGCAUCCAACUCAAACGAAUUGAUGUGCCCACUGUGUAGGGGUGCUGUGAAGGGCUGGGAGAUCAUCAAAGAUGCCAGACAGUACCUGGAUGAGAAGCCAAGAAGCUGCUCGCGGGAAGCAUGCGCAUUUUCUGGUACCUAUGGUGCGCUCCGUAGACAUGCCAGGAGGGUGCACCCCACUACCAGGCCUGCUGAUGUGGACCCAUCAAGGCGCCGCGCGUGGCACCGCCUGGAGAACCAGCGAGAGUAUGGUGACAUAAUGAGCGCAAUCAGGUCGGCUAUGCCUGGGUCAGUUGUGCUUGGAGAUUACGUCAUUGAAGGUGGGCCAAGUGCAGAUGAGCGUGAAGACGGUGGGCCAAGUGAGCGAAGCGGGUCUCUGUUGACAACGUUCUUUCUAUUCCAUAUGAUGAACAGUGGUCCGCUGAGAUCAGGAGACGAGCCAAGAGCCUCAUCAAGGGCCCUGAGAAGGCAGAGGCGCCGCUACCUGUGGGGAGAGAACUUGCUAGGCCUCCAAUACGACGACGACGACGAUGAUGAGGAUGAGGAUAGCCUAGACGAGGAGGUUCAGAGGCCCAGGACUCGCAGGAGGUUCGUGAGGUCAAGGUCGGAGGAGCGGCGCUGA